GUUAGUUGCCAUCAUUCAGUUGGGCACUCUAGCGAGACUGCCGGUAAUAAACCGGAGGAAGGUGGGGAGUGACGUCAAAUCAUCAUGCCCCUUAUGACCUGGGCUACACACGUGCUACAAUGGUUGGUACAACGAGUUGCGAGUCGGUGACGGCGAGCUAAUCUCUUAAAGCCAAUCUCAGUUCGGAUUGUAGGCUGCAACUCGCCUACAUGAAGUCGGAAUCGCUAGUAAUCGCGGAUCAGCACGCCGCGGUGAAUACGUUCCCGGGCCUU
rnacentral:rRNA from 1 species